UUAUGGGUGAAGUGGGUGAUCCUAUGCUGUCGAGAAAAACCUCUAGCGAGCUAUGCGCCGCCCGUACCCCAAACCGACUCAGGUGAUCAGGUAGAGAAUACCAAGGCGAUCGAGAGAACCAUGGUUAAGGAACUCGGCAAAUUGCCCCCGUGACUUCGGGAGAAGGGGGGCCGGAUCCGUGAACCCACAUUGCUGGGGGUAGCGGUGAUGGCCGCAGAGACCAGGCCCAAGCGACUGUUUACUAAAAACACAGGUCCGUGCGAAGUUUUAUCACGAUGUAUACGGACUGACUCCUGCCCGGUGCUGGAAGGUUAAGAGGACCUGUUAGACGCACCUUGUGUGUCGAAGCGGAGAAUUUAAGCCCCAGUAAACGGCGGUGGUAACUAUAACCAUCCUAAGGUAGCGAAAUUCCUUGUCGGGUAAGUUCCGACCUGCACGAAUGGAGUAACGACUUGGGCGCUGUCUCAACCAUGGACUCGGCGAAAUUGCAGUACGAGUAAAGAUGCUCGUUACGCGCGGCAGGACGGAAAGACCCCGGGACCUUUACUAUAGUUUGGUAUUGGUGUUUGGUUCGGCUUGUGUAGGAUAGGUGGGAGACUGUGAAGGCCACACGCCAGUGUGGUUGGAGUCAUCGUUGAAAUACCACUCUGGUCGUACUAGAUGUCUAACCUAGGUCCAUGAUCUGGAUCAGGGACAGUGCCUGAUGGGUAGUUUAACUGGGGCGGUUGCCUCCUAAAAUGUAACGGAGGCGCUCAAAGGUUCCCUCAGCCUGGUUGGCAAUCAGGUGUUGAGUGUAAGUGCACAAGGGAGCUUGACUGUGAGACAGACAUGUCGAGCAGGGACGAAAGUCGGAACUAGUGAUCUGGCGUCGGCAUGUGGAAGCGACGUCACUCAACGGAUAAAAGGUACCCCGGGGAUAACAGGCUGAUCUUCCCCAAGAGUCCAUAUCGACGGGAUGGUUUGGCACCUCGAUGUCGGCUCGUCGCAUCCUGGGGCUGGAGUAGGUCCCAAGGGUUGGGCUGUUCGCCCAUUAAAGCGGCACGCGAGCUGGGUUUAGAACGUCGUGAGACAGUUCGGUCCCUAUCCGCCGCGCGCGUAGGAAACUUGAGAAAGGCUGUCCCUAGUACGAGAGGACCGGGAUGGACGAACCUCUGGUGUGCCAGUUGUCCUGCCAAGGGCACGGCUGGUUGGCUACGUUCGGAAGUGAUAACCGCUGAAUGCAUCUAAGCGGGAAGCACGUUUCAAGACAAGGUUUCCCACCCACAUUGUGGGGUAAGGCCCCCUAGAGACCAUGGGGUUGAUAGGCCGGAGGUGUACAGCAGUAAUGCCCAGCCGACCGGUACUAAUAGGCCGAGGGCUUGUCAU
rnacentral:rRNA from 1 species